AGAUGUAGAAUUGGAACAAAUGGGUCAUUCCGUGUGAAAUCAGAUAAGGUUGUUGCAGCAUCGCCUCAGAUUUUGUUCAAACCUUGUUUAUAUCAA